UACGGAGGGGCUAGCGUUGUUCGGAAUUACUGGGCGUAAAGCGCACGUAGGCGGCUUUGCAAGUCAGAGGUGAAAGCCCGGGGCUCAACCCCGGAAUUGCCUUUGAGACUGCAUCGCUAGAAUUGUGGAGAGGUAAGUGGAAUUCCGAGUGUAGAGGUGAAAUUCGUAGAUAUUCGGAGGAACACGAUGGCGAAGGCAGAUCUCUGGGCCUAACUGACGCUGAGGAGCGAAAGCAUGAGGAGCGAACAGGGA
rnacentral:rRNA from 1 species